rnacentral:rRNA from 1 species
CCUACGGUGGGCAGCAGUGAGGAAUAUUGGUCAAUGGGCGCGAGCCUGAACCAGCCAAGUAGCGUGAAGGAUGACUGCCCUACGGGUUGUAAACUUCUUUUAUAAAGGAAUAAAGUGAGGCACGUGUGCCUUUUUGUAUGUACUUUAUGAAUAAGGAUCGGCUAACUCCGUGCCAGCAGCCGCGGUAAUACGGAGGAUCCGAGCGUUAUCCGGAUUUAUUGGGUUUAAAGGGAGCGUAGAUGGGUUGUUAGGUCAGUUUUGAAAGUUUGCGGCUCAACCGUAAAAUUGCAAUUGAUACUGGCAGCCUUGAGUACAGUUGAGGUAGGCGUAAUUCGUGGUGUAGCGGUGAAAUUCUUAGAUAUCACGAAGAACUCCGAGUGCGAAGGCAGCCUACUAAACUGCCACUGACAUUGAUGCUCGAAAGUGUGGGUAUCAAACAGGAUUAGAUACCCCGGUAGUC